UGGGGAAUAUUGCACAAUGGGCGAAAGCCUGAUGCAGCAACGCCGCGUGAGUGAUGAAGGUCUUCGGAUUGUAAAGCUCUGUCUUUUGGGACGAUAAUGACGGUACCAAAGGAGGAAGCCACGGCUAACUACGUGCCAGCAGCCGCGGUAAUACGUAGGUGGCGAGCGUUGUCCGGAUUUACUGGGCGUAAAGGGUGCGUAGGCGGAUGUUUAAGUGAGAUGUGAAAUACCCGGGCUUAACUUGGGUGCUGCAUUUCAAACUGGAUAUCUAGAGUGCAGGAGAGGAGAAUGGAAUUCCUAGUGUAGCGGUGAAAUGCGUAGAGAUUAGGAAGAACACCAGUGGCGAAGGCGAUUCUCUGGACUGUAACUGACGCUGAGGCACGAAAGCGUGGGUAGCAAACAGGAUUAGAUACCCUGGUAGUCCACGCCGUAAAACGAUGAGUACUAGGUGUAGGAGGUAUCGACCCCUUCUGUGCCGCAGUAAA
rnacentral:rRNA from 1 species